UGAAGGGAAGGGCAACCUGGCAGUAGAUGCAGUUUCAUUUUCCAGCAGUUCCACUUAUAUUUCUUAAUAGACUUCCCUGACCUUAAUUGCCUUUUUCUUCCUUUCAAACUGGGCACAUCUGAAGAGAAUUUCCCCACUGGGAAUAAACCGCCUGGCUAUCACUGUUUUGCCAAUGCAAUCAGAAGAAGGAAGCUGCUGGCUCUUAUAAACAAGGAACACAAAGAGAGAGAACCGGCAAACUGAGGAGUAAGAAAAAGAAGAGACCAUCUUCUACCAAGAUUAGGGCAGGAGAUAUCUACAAGAUCCUCACUUGAGUGGUUGAAACAACAGGAGAAGAUUUUUCAGAGGGACCUAAAGAGAUUAUUCGACUGCUAGAUGAGAACAAGCAUCCAUCCGAAACGAGAUGUUGCUGGAAAGUGUGAAUGGAGUUCAGCGGACAUCAAGAAGAGGAGAGAACUUCAGAGCUCUGCUUUGGUCAGCCCUGGAAUUACAGGGACACUAGAGCUGGAUAAGGCCUUAGUCUGGUACCUUGGAGGCAAGGAUCAUCCUUUUGGGUGCUGCCAUUUUCUCUGUGGCUAAGCACUGACUCUCUGACUUUGAAACUGACUGGACCAUGAUGAUCUAUACAAAAGAACAACAGCUGAGAAUGAUAUUGUUAUCCCAUUUGGCUGGACAGUCAAAAUGGGUAUUUGAAACAAAAACCACUUCCUCUGAAAUGUCAGUAAUAGCUACAAAUACCUGUGGCAAAAAAUCAUAAUCAAUUAUGAAUGUGAUAACAAUCA